rnacentral:rRNA from 1 species
CACGAAUGGCGUAACGAUGGCCACACUGUCUCCUCCUGAGACUCAGCGAAGUUGAAAUGGUUGUGAAGAUGCAAUCUACCCGCGGCUAGACGGAAAGACCCCAUGAACCUUUACUGCAGCUUUGCAUUGGACUUUGACGGGACUUGUGUAGGAUAGGUGGGAGGCUAUGAAACGGAAACGCUAGUUGUGGUGGAGCCGUCCUUGAAAUACCACCCUGGUGUCGUUGAGGUUCUAACCCAGGCCCGUGAAUCCGGGCCGGGGACCGUGCAUGGUAGGCAGUUUGACUGGGGCGGUCUCCUCCCAAAGGGUAACGGAGGAGUACGAAGGUCUUCUAGGUACGGUCGGACAUCGUACUGAUAGUGCAAUGGCAAAAGAAGGCUUGACUGCGAGACCUACAAGUCGAGCAGGUGCGAAAGCAGGUCAUAGUGAUCCGGUGGUUCUGUAUGGAAGGGCCAUCGCUCAACGGAUAAAAGGUACUCUGGGGAUAACAGGCUGAUACC